rnacentral:rRNA from 1 species
GAUGAACGCUGGCGGCGUGCCUAAUACAUGCAAGUCGAGCGAACAGACGAGGAGCUUGCUCCUCUGACGUUAGCGGCGGACGGGUGAGUAACACGUGGAUAACCUACCUAUAAGACUGGGAUAACUUCGGGAAACCGGAGCUAAUACCGGAUAAUAUAUUGAACCGCAUGGUUCAAUAGUGAAAGACGGUUUUGCUGUCACUUAUAGAUGGAUCCGCGCCGCAUUAGCUAGUUGGUAAGGUAACGGCUUACCAAGGCAACGAUGCGUAGCCGACCUGAGAGGGUGAUCGGCCAAACUGGAACUGAGACACGGUCCAGACUCCGACGGGAGGCAGCAGUAGGGAAUCUUCCGCAAUGGGCGAAAGCCUGACGGAGCAACGCCGCGUGAGUGAUGAAGGUCUUCGGAUCGUAAAACUCUGUUAUUAGGGAAGAACAAAUGUGUAAGUAACUAUGCACGUCUUGACGGUACCUAAUCAGAAAGCCACGGCUAACUACGUG